rfam:Pseudocohnilembus persalinus scaffold97, whole genome shotgun sequence.
AACUGUAUAUUUUAGUGGUAGAAUGAUUGCCUUACACGCAAUUAAUCCUGGAUCGAUACCAGGUAUAGUUA